rnacentral:rRNA from 1 species
GACGAACGCUGGCGGCGUGCUUAACACAUGCAAGUCGAACGGUAAGGCCCUUCGGGGUACACGAGUGGCGAACGGGUGAGUAACACGUGGGUGAUCUGCCCUGCACUUCGGGAUAAGCCUGGGAAACUGGGUCUAAUACCGGAUAGGACCAUGGACUUCACGGUUUGUGGUGGAAAGCUUUUGCGGUGUGGGAUGGGCCCGCGGCCUAUCAGCUUGUUGGUGGGGUAAUGGCCUACCAAGGCGACGACGGGUAGCCGGCCUGAGAGGGUGUCCGGCCACACUGGGACUGAGAUACGGCCCAGACUCCUACGGGAGGCAGCAGUGGGGAAUAUUGCACAAUGGGCGCAAGCCUGAUGCAGCGACGCCGCGUGAGGGAUGACGGCCUCGGUUGUAACCGUACUUUCUAUAGGACGAAGACGCGAAGUGACGGUACCGUACUUAGAAGAAGACACCGGCCGAACCUAACGUGCCAGCAGCCGCGGAAAAUAAGCGUACU